AUUACAUCAACAUAACCACCGUGAUUUCGAACCACUCCAGCAUGUACUGCUGCUCUGCAGAUACUGGACAGCUGAGAAGGUAAAGAAACAAACUGCCAUUAUUGGAAAUUCCUGCUGGACUUGUCCAGCCUAUUCUUCUAUUAUUAAUAGACUGAAGUCGCUGACAUCCUGAUGUCAUGGAUAGCCAGUGAGCAGCUACAGGAUGAGGUUUUGUGCAUAAAAGAGUGUUUGAAACGUCACAAAGUCAAAGCCAAUUUGGAGCAAGUCUGAAGGCCAACCUUAAAGGUGACUGCAACGAGGCAAGAAUAUAAGCACAAAUGUGAAGACUAGUACAUUCAAGAUACCAGCAGGACUUUUCAGUGGCACAUAAGACCAGUGCAAAUCUGGAGCUUGAGAGAGACUCAGAAUUGGAAAAUAACUGCAAAGGUAAAGCUGAACUGAAAAAAAUCUUGGUAAGUAAGCUCACCAAGAGAAAUAGGUGGUAAUGUACAUAUUCAGGCCUCUUUACAUGAUCAAAUUCCCUUAAUAUUCUAUUGAAUAUGUGCAUAAGACAUUUCCUAAAUUUGCAUUUGUAACUCUCUGGCUUAGAAAUCUGUAAUGGUUUCUAAGUGUUUGCCUCAUAAAACGUAAACUCAUCAGCAUGCACUUUCAGACUUUGUCUACACACUGAUGUGAGCUGGAUUCCUCUCUCUCUCAGACUAACUUGGUUGAAGCCCCUUUUCGUUCCGAUUUUCAGCAGCUUAGAGACAAAGCUAUCUGCUAGUCUGAUGUACAGCUCAUUGACUCUUAACUCCGUUACUUUGUAAAUGUCACUUAUCCCACUAGAACACGUUCCCUGAUCCUCUUUAGCAACCAACACUAAAAACCUGGCUCAACAAGCACUUAACAGGCCUGGCACCUUGGAAGGCCAAGGCAGGAGGACUGCUUGAGGCCACACCAGCCUGGGCAACACAGUGAGACCCCAUCUCUACAACAAUAGAAAAAGAGCCAGGCAUGGUGUCAUGUAUUUGUUCUUCUAGUUACUUGGGAGGCUGAGGCAGGAGGAUCACUUGAGCCCGAGUUUGAGGUUAAACUGAGAUAUGAUCAUGCCACUGAACUCCAGCCUGGGCCAUCACAGCUCACAUUCCUUGUCCAACCCACUAAAGUCAUCUCUUACAACAUCCCCUCAACUAGUUCUCUUUUGCAUAUAUUUCAAUGUAGCAUCUCUAUGACUCUAUGCUACAUUUUAAAUGGCCGUUUGGCAGUGAAGAUAUUGUUUCAACUUUUGACAAAUUCUUAAUUAUCCAGUUCAGACUUCAAAUACUAAAGAAUCAAAAGAAAAACAAAACACAUUUUCCUUCCCAACAAUAACUACAGACUAUUUCAUUAUGUGUCUUAUAUAAAACAUAUGGGGAGAAAGUGAAGAAAAAUUUUGUCAAAUAAUUAUACACUCUUAUUGUACAUAUGGAUAUUAAUUUUUCAGUGAUAUGGAUGUUUAACUCUUCUGAGAACACACAUUAACAAAGUCUGUUUCUUCGCUCUGUAUAUAAAUGUACAUAUACACAUUUAAAUGUGUCUAUACAUUUAUAUAUAUACAUGAAUGUUGACAGCUGUAUAAAUUAGGAUACUUACAUCAGAAUAAACUCGAGUUCCAAUUA